rnacentral:lncRNA from 1 species
UACGUUUUAUAGAUUCCCACCAAUGAUCUCCUUCUUCCCGCAACAUAAAGGUGGCGAAUGGAACCUUUUGCUACUCUGAGCAUUCCAAGACAUCAAAUAUCUUGGUAAUCUGCUUUAUCCAUGUCUCCGCCUUAAGUGGUUCUUGCUUUCCCAAAAACUCUAAUGGUCCUAGCUCCUUGAAUUGCUUAGCGGUGACCAACCGUGGGUUGCCAUUGUUUCCUCCUACAUUAUGAACAGGAGCCGCCUUCGCCUGAUGUUGCAUGAAUUCUAAAAAGCUCUUAAACGUACCGUCGUUCGUCAAUUGAUCAGUGUUGUUGUUUACAGGAGGAUUAUCGCCAUCCUGUUGCACAUUGUCUUGAUUUUUGAUCUGUGGAGAAUCAACAGUCUCCUGUGCUCCAUUGCUAUUCUCAACAUUCUCAGAUGCCAUU